CCGGGGGCGCGCGCCCCGCUGCCUGCUGGGAGUUGGAGUUCGGGGCGAGGCCGAGCGCCGCCGCUCCACGCUCGGGACACUGUCGGGACACGCUCUCGGCCUCUGCCCGCGCAGUGCUUGGGGAGCAGAGGAGGGGAGCUGCGGCGAGAACUGAAGGUGUUGCUGCUGCUCAAGCUUUGGCUACGCUUAAAUAAGUUGGAAUGCUGGACAGUCCAACAACUAAAGCUAAGAACAGAAUCCAAAGAAUUGUGAUUCCAUGGUCACAAUUCACCCUGUGAUGCUGACAGGUGGAAAAGGAGUGGAAGGUGCAUGGGUCAAUUAACUUGAAUGGCCUAUGUAAAUCAGCGGCCACUGAUCUCCUGAAGGCUUCAACAGGUCUGUGCUGGAGAGUGGGAGAAAGGUCCCUGCUGCUUGCUGUAUCUUCAGCAGGCAGAGAGCUCUGACCUUGGCCGGAUGGGCUGUUGCUGUAUCUCUUGGAUGCUGUGCAGGACAGAAUCACGCAGCCAAACCUCAGGUCCACCUUCUCCCUGACCCUCUACAUUGAUCGUGUGGCCCAGCAGAUCCUGAAGCCAGAGCGUGAGUGGAUUCUCAGAUUUCUUGGAGAAGGGCUGCGUGACAAACAUUGCUAU